UUGGUUUCUUAAUGAGAAGCAUAGAUUAAGGGGAAUUUUGCCAGUUUUGAACGGCAUGAUGUUAUCUUUCUUUAGCUUUGUGUUGCCUGUCUGCUGGUAUAUUU